UACGGGGGGAGCAAGCGUUGUUCGGAUUUACUGGGCGUAAAGGGCUUGUAGGUGGCCAACUAAGUCCGACGUGAAAUCCCUAGGCUUAACCUAGGAACUGCGUCGGAUACUGGAUGGCUUGAAUCCGGGAGAGGGAUGCGGAAUUCCAGGUGUAGCGGUGAAAUGCGUAGAUAUCUGGAGGAACACCGGUGGCGAAGGCGGCAUCCUGGACCGGUAUUGACACUGAAAAGCGAAAGCCAGGGGAGCAAACGGG
rnacentral:rRNA from 1 species